AUGGCCUGGGCCCCUCUCCUUCUCGCGGUGCUUGCCCACAGCUCAGGUUCCCUGGUCCAGGCAGCAGUGACUCAGCCGCCCUCGGUGUCAAAGAACCCGGGAGAAACCGUCCAGAUCACCUGCUCUGGGAGCAGCAACAGCUAUGGCUGGUUCCAGCAGAAGGUACCUGGCAGUGCCCCUGUCACUGUGAUCUACUACAACGACAAGAGACCCUCGGACAUCCCUUCGCGAUUCUCCGGAUCCAAGUCUGGCUCCACGGGCACGCUAACCAUCACUGGGGUCCAACCCGAGGACGAGGCUGUCUAUUACUGUGGUAACUACGAAAGCGGCUAUACUGGUGCCACCGUGACACAGAUCAAUGGGAAAGUGAGACAAAAACCUCCCACCAUUGCAGGGGCCAUUUAG